rnacentral:rRNA from 1 species
UAAGAGGUCCUGCCUGCCCAGUGACUAUAUGUUUAACGGCCGCGGUACUUUGACCGUGCGAAGGUAGCGCAAUCACUUGUCUUUUAAAUGAAGACCUGUAUGAAUGGCACGACGAGGGCUUAACUGUCUCCUUUUUCCAGUCAAUGAAAUUGAUCUUCCCGUGCAGAAGCGGGAAUAAUAUCAUAAGACGAGAAGACCCUGUGGAGCUUUAGACACUAAAUCAGCCCUUGUCCAAAAUCCCAAUUAAAGGAAUGAACUCUAGAGUGAGACCUGAUCUAAUGUCUUCGGUUGGGGCGACCUUGGGGAAAGAAAAAUCCCCCAUGCGGAACGGAAAUACUAUGUUUCCAAAACUAAGAGACACCACUCAAAGUAUCAAAAAUUUUGACCAACUAUAUGAUCCGGCUUAACGCCGAUCAACGGACCGAGUUACCCCAGGGAUAACAGCGCAAUCCUCUUUUAGAGCCCAUAUCGACAAGAGGGUUUACGACCUCGAUGUUGGAUCAGGACAUCCUAAUGGUGCAGCCGCUAUUAAGGGUUCGUUUGUUCAACGAUUAAAGUCC